GUAGUCCACGCCGUAAACGAUGGAUACUAGCUGUUCGGAGCAAUCUGAGUGGCUAAGCGAAAGUGAUAAGUAUCCCACCUGGGGAGUACGUUCGCAAGAAUGAAACUCAAAGGAAUUGACGGGGGCCCGCACAAGCGGAGGAGCAUGUGGUUUAAUUCGAUGAUACGCGAGGAACCUUACCAGGGCUUAAAUGGGAGACGACAGGACUGGAAACAGUUUUUUCUUCGGACGUCUUUCAAGGUGCUGCAUGGUUGUCGUCAGCUCGUGCCGUGAGGUGUCAGGUUAAGUCCUAUAACGAGCGCAACCCCUAUUGUUAGUUGCCAGCGGGUCAUGCCGGGAACUCUAACAAGACUGCCGGUGCAAACCGUGAGGAAGGUGGGGAUGACGUCAAAUCAUCACGGCCCUUACGUCCUGGGCUACACACGUGCUACAAUGGGCGGUACAGAGAGCAGCCACCACGCAAGUGGGCGCGAAUCUUCAAAACCGUUCUCAGUUCGGAUCGGAGUCUGCAACUCGACUCCGUGAAGCUGGAUUCGCUAGUAAUCGCAUAUCAGCCAUGAUGCGGUGAAUA
rnacentral:rRNA from 1 species